rnacentral:rRNA from 1 species
UACGUAGGGCGCAAGCGUUAUCCGGAAUUAUUGGGCGUAAAGAGCUCGUAGGCGGUUUGUCGCGUCUGCCGUGAAAGUCCGGGGCUCAACUCCGGAUCUGCGGUGGGUACGGGCAGACUAGAGUGAUGUAGGGGAGACUGGAAUUCCUGGUGUAGCGGUGAAAAUGCGCAGAUAUCAGGAGGAACACCGAUGGCGAAGGCAGGUCUCUGGGCCACUACUGACGCUGAGAAGCGAAAGCAUGGGGAGCGAACAGG